rnacentral:rRNA from 1 species
GGUUAAGUGAAUAAGGGCGCACGGUGGAUGCCUUGGCACUAGGAGCCGAUGAAGGACGGGACUAACACCGAUAUGCUUUGGGGAGCUGUACGUAAGCUAUGAUCCAGAGAUUUCCGAAUGGGGGAACCCAGCAUCUUUAAUAGGAUGUUACGAUUGUGUGAAUACAUAGCACAUUCGAGGUAGACGCAGAGAACUGAAACAUCUAAGUACCUGCAGGAAGAGAAAGAAAAUUCGAUUCCCUGAGUAGCGGCGAGCGAAACGGGAAAAGCCCAAACCAACAAGCUUGCUUGUUGGGGUUGUAGGACUCCAAUAUGGUCGUUCUUUCAGAUAGUCGAAUGACUUGGAAAAGUCAGUCAAAGAGGGUAAAAACCCCGUAGACGAAAUGUGGAAGACACCUAGGAGGAUCCUGAGUACGGCGGAACACGAGAAAUUCCGUCGGAAUCCGGGAGGACCAUCUCCCAAGGCUAAAUACUCCCUAGUGACCGAUAGUGAACCAGUACCGUGAGG